rnacentral:rRNA from 1 species
AGCUAGUUGGCGGGGUAAAAGCCCACCAAGGCGACCAUCUGUAGCUGGUCUGAGAGGACGACCAGCCACACUGGGACUGAGACACGGCCCAGACUCCUACGGGAGGCAGCAGUGGGGAAUUUUGGACAAUGGGCGCAAGCCUGAUCCAGCCAUGCCGCGUGUGGGAAGAAGGCCUUCGGGUUGUAAACCACUUUUGUCAGGGAAGAAACGGUUGGAUCUAAUACAUUCGACUAAUGACGGUACCUGAAGAAUAAGCACCGGCUAACUACGUGCCAGCAGCCGCGGUAAUACGUAGGGUGCAAGCGUUAAUCGGAAUUACUGGGCGUAAAGCGUGCGCAGGCGGCUUUGCAAGACAGAUGUGAAAUCCCCGGGCUCAACCUGGGAACUGCAUUUGUGACUGCAAGGCUAGAGUACGGUAGAGGGGGAUGGAAUUCCGCGUGUAGCAGUGAAAUGCGUAGAUAUGCGGAGGAACACCGAUGGCGAAGGCAAUCCCCUGGACCUGUACUGACGCUCAUGCACGAAAGCGUGGGGAGCAAACAGGAUUAGAUACCCUGGUAGUCCACGCCCUAAACGAUGUCAACUGGUUGUUGGGCGGCUUGCUGUUCAGUAACGAAGCUAACGCGUGAAGUUGACCGCCUGGGGAGUACGGCCGCAAGGUUGAAACUCAAAGGAAUUGACGGGGACCUGCACAAGCGGUGGAUGAUGUGGUUUAAUUCGAUGCAACGCGAAAAACCUUACCUACCCUUGACAUGUCUAGAAGUUACCAGAGAUGGUUUCGUGCUCGAAAGAGAACUAGAACACAGGUGCUGCAUGGCCGUCGUCAGCUCGUGUCGUGAGAUGUUGGGUUAAGUCCCGCAACGAGCGCAACCCUUAUCAUUAGUUGCUACGCAAGGGCACUCUAAUGAGACUGCCGGUGACAAACCGGAGGAAGGUGGGGAUGACGUCAGGUCAUCAUGGCCCUUAUGGGUAGGGCUACACACGUCAUACAAUGGCCGGUACAGAGGGCUGCCAACCCGCGAGGGGGAGCUAAUCUCAGAAAACCGGUCGUAGUCCGGAUCGCAGUCUGCAACUCGACUGCGUGAAGUCGGAAUCGCUAGUAAUCGCGGAUCAGCUUGCCGCGGUGAAUACGUUCCCGGGUCUUGUACACACCGCCCGUCACACCAUGGGAGCGGGUUCUGCCAGAAGUAGUUAGCCUAACCGCAAGGAGGGCGAUUACCACGGCAGGGUUCGUGACUGGGGUGAAGUCGGAACAAGGUAGCCGUAUCGGAAGGUGCGGCUG